rnacentral:tRNA from 1 species
UGGGGUAUCGCCAAGCGGUAAGGCACCGGAUUCUGAUUCCGGCAUUCCGAGGUUGUUCGAAUCCUCGUACCCCAGCCA